UUAAGCGACUAAGCGUACACGGUGGAUGCCCUGGCAGUCAGAGGCGAUGAAGGACGUGCUAAUCUGCGAAAAGCGCCGGCGAGGUGAUAUGAACCUUUGACCCGGCGAUGUCCGAAUGGGGAAACCCAGUGCAAUCCGUUGCACUAUCGUUAACUGAAUACAUAGGUUAACGAGGCGAACCGGGGGAACUGAAACAUCUAAGUACCCCGAGGAAAAGAAAUCAACCGAGAUUCCCCCAGUAGCGGCGAGCGAACGGGGAGCAGCCCGGAGUCUGAAUCAGCUUGUGUGUUAGUGGAACGGUCUGGAAAGUCCGACGGUACAGGGUGAUAGUCCCGUACACGAAAGCACACAUGCUGUGAACUCGAAGAGUAGGGCGGGACACGUGGUAUCCUGUCUGAAUAUGGGGGGACCAUCCUCCAAGGCUAAAUACUCCUGACUGACCGAUAGUGAACCAGUACCGUGAGGGAAAGGCGAAAAGAACCCCGGCGAGGGGAGUGAAAAAGAACCUGAAACCGUGUACGUACAAGCAGUGGGAGCCUCUUUAUGGGGUGACUGCGUACCUUUUGUAUAAUGGGUCAGCGACUUAUAUUCUGUAGCAAGGUUAACCGUAUAGGGGAGCCGAAGGGAAACCGAGUCUUAACUGGGCGUUAAGUUGCAGGGUAUAGACCCGAAACCCGGUGAUCUAGCCAUGGGCAGGUUGAAGGUUGGGUAACACUAACUGGAGGACCGAACCGACUAAUGUUGAAAAAUUAGCGGAUGACCUGUGGCUGGGGGUGAAAGGCCAAUCAAACCGGGAGAUAGCUGGUUCUCCCCGAAAGCUAUUUAGGUAGCGCCUCGUGAACUCAUCUUCGGGGGUAGAGCACUGUUUCGGCUAGGGGGCCAUCCCGGCUUACCAACCCGAUGCAAACUACGAAUACCGAAGAAUGUUAUCACGGGAGACACACGGCGGGUGCUAACGUCCGUCGUGAAGAGGGAAACAACCCAGACCGCCAGCUAAGGUCCCAAAGUCAUGGUUAAGUGGGAAACGAUGUGGGAAGGCACAGACAGCCAGGAUGUUGGCUUAGAAGCAGCCAUCAUUUAAAGAAAGCGUAAUAGCUCACUGGUCGAGUCGGCCUGCGCGGAAGAUGUAACGGGGCUAAACCAUGCACCGAAGCUGCGGCAGCGACGCUUAUGCGUUGUUGGGUAGGGGAGCGUUCUGUAAGCCGUUGAAGGUGUCCUGUGAGGGGUGCUGGAGGUAUCAGAAGUGCGAAUGCUGACAUAAGUAACGAUAAAGCGGGUGAAAAGCCCGCUCGCCGGAAGACCAAGGGUUCCUGUCCAACGUUAAUCGGGGCAGGGUGAGUCGACCCCUAAGGCGAGGCCGAAAGGCGUAGUCGAUGGGAAACAGGUUAAUAUUCCUGUACUUGGUGUUACUGCGAAGGGGGGACGGAGAAGGCUAUGUCAGCCGGGCGACGGUUGUCCCGGUUUAAGCAUGUAGGCGGAGGUUCCAGGUAAAUCCGGUACCUUAUUAACGCUGAGGUGUGAUGACGAGGCACUACGGUGCUGAAGUGAUAAAUGCCCUGCUUCCAGGAAAAGCCUCUAAGCAUCAGGUAACACGAAAUCGUACCCCAAACCGACACAGGUGGUCAGGUAGAGAAUACCAAGGCGCUUGAGAGAACUCGGGUGAAGGAACUAGGCAAAAUGGUGCCGUAACUUCGGGAGAAGGCACGCUGAUAUGUAGGUGAAGUCCCUGCGGACGGAGCUGAAAUCAGUCGAAGAUACCAGCUGGCUGCAACUGUUUAUUAAAAACACAGCACUGUGCAAACACGAAAGUGGACGUAUACGGUGUGACGCCUGCCCGGUGCCGGAAGGUUAAUUGAUGGGGUUAGCGGCAACGCGAAGCUCUUGAUCGAAGCCCCGGUAAACGGCGGCCGUAACUAUAACGGUCCUAAGGUAGCGAAAUUCCUUGUCGGGUAAGUUCCGACCUGCACGAAUGGCGUAAUGAUGGCCAGGCUGUCUCCACCCGAGACUCAGUGAAAUUGAACUCGCUGUGAAGAUGCAGUGUACCCGCGGCAAGACGGAAAGACCCCGUGAACCUUUACUAUAGCUUGACACUGAACACUGGUCCUUGAUGUGUAGGAUAGGUGGGAGGCUUUGAAGCGUGGACGCCAGUCUGCGUGGAGCCAACCUUGAAAUACCACCCUUUAAUGGCUGGUGUUCUAACGUAGACCCGUAAUCCGGGUUGCGGACAGUGUCUGGUGGGUAGUUUGACUGGGGCGGUCUCCUCCCAAAGAGUAACGGAGGAGCACGAAGGUUGGCUAAUCCUGGUCGGACAUCAGGAGGUUAGUGCAAUGGCAUAAGCCAGCUUGACUGCGAGCGUGACGGCGCGAGCAGGUGCGAAAGCAGGUCAUAGUGAUCCGGUGGUUCUGAAUGGAAGGGCCAUCGCUCAACGGAUAAAAGGUACUCCGGGGAUAACAGGCUGAUACCGCCCAAGAGUUCAUAUCGACGGCGGUGUUUGGCACCUCGAUGUCGGCUCAUCACAUCCUGGGGCUGAAGUAGGUCCCAAGGGUAUGGCUGUUCGCCAUUUAAAGUGGUACGCGAGCUGGGUUUAGAACGUCGUGAGACAGUUCGGUCCCUAUCUGCCGUGGGCGCUGGAGAAUUGAGGGGGGCUGCUCCUAGUACGAGAGGACCGGAGUGGACGCAUCACUGGUGUUCGGGUUGUCAUGCCAAUGGCACUGCCCGGUAGCUAAAUGCGGAAAAGAUAAGUGCUGAAAGCAUCUAAGCACGAAACUUGCCCCGAGAUGAGUUCUCCCUGAGACUUUAAGUCUCCUGAAGGAACGUUGAAGACGACGACGUUGAUAGGUCGGGUGUGUAAGCGCAGCGAUGCGUUGAGCUAACCGAUACUAAUGAACCGUGAGGCUUAACCUU
rnacentral:rRNA from 2 species